rnacentral:rRNA from 1 species
GGUUAAGCGACUAAGCGUACACGGUGGAUGCCCUGGCAGUCAGAGGCGAUGAAGGACGUGCUAAUCUGCGAUAAGCGUCGGUAAGGUGAUAUGAACCGUUAUAACCGGCGAUUUCCGAAUGGGGAAACCCAGUGUGUUUCGACACACUAUCAUUAACUGAAUCCAUAGGUUAAUGAGGCGAACCGGGGGAACUGAAACAUCUAAGUACCCCGAGGAAAAGAAAUCAACCGAGAUUCCCCCAGUAGCGGCGAGCGAACGGGGAGCAGCCCAGAGCCUGAAUCAGUGUGUGUGUUAGUGGAAGCGUCUGGAAAGGCGCGCGAUACAGGGUGACAGCCCCGUACACAAAAAUGCACAUGCUGUGAGCUCGAUGAGUAGGGCGGGACACGUGGUAUCCUGUCUGAAUAUGGGGGGACCAUCCUCCAAGGCUAAAUACUCCUGACUGACCGAUAGUGAACCAGUACCGUGAGGGAAAGGCGAAAAGAACCCCGGCGAGGGGAGUGAAAAAGAACCUGAAACCGUGUACGUACAAGCAGUGGGAGCACGCUUAGGCGUGUGACUGCGUACCUUUUGUAUAAUGGGUCAGCGACUUAUAUUCUGUAGCAAGGUUAACCGAAUAGGGGAGCCGAAGGGAAACCGAGUCUUAACUGGGCGUUAAGUUGCAGGGUAUAGACCCGAAACCCGGUGAUCUAGCCAUGGGCAGGUUGAAGGUUGGGUAACACUAACUGGAGGACCGAACCGACUAAUGUUGAAAAAUUAGCGGAUGACUUGUGGCUGGGGGUGAAAGGCCAAUCAAACCGGGAGAUAGCUGGUUCUCCCCGAAAGCUAUUUAGGUAGCGCCUCGUGAAUUCAUCUCCGGGGGUAGAGCACUGUUUCGGCAAGGGGGUCAUCCCGACUUACCAACCCGAUGCAAACUGCGAAUACCGGAGAAUGUUAUCACGGGAGACACACGGCGGGUGCUAACGUCCGUCGUGAAGAGGGAAACAACCCAGACCGCCAGCUAAGGUCCCAAAGUCAUGGUUAAGUGGGAAACGAUGUGGGAAGGCCCAGACAGCCAGGAUGUUGGCUUAGAAGCAGCCAUCAUUUAAAGAAAGCGUAAUAGCUCACUGGUCGAGUCGGCCUGCGCGGAAGAUGUAACGGGGCUAAACCAUGCACCGAAGCUGCGGCAGCGACGCUUAUGCGUUGUUGGGUAGGGGAGCGUUCUGUAAGCCUGCGAAGGUGUGCUGUGAGGCAUGCUGGAGGUAUCAGAAGUGCGAAUGCUGACAUAAGUAACGAUAAAGCGGGUGAAAAGCCCGCUCGCCGGAAGACCAAGGGUUCCUGUCCAACGUUAAUCGGGGCAGGGUGAGUCGACCCCUAAGGCGAGGCCGAAAGGCGUAGUCGAUGGGAAACAGGUUAAUAUUCCUGUACUUGGUGUUACUGCGAAGGGGGGACGGAGAAGGCUAUGUUGGCCGGGCGACGGUUGUCCCGGUUUAAGCGUGUAGGCUGGUUUUCCAGGCAAAUCCGGAAAAUCAAGGCUGAGGCGUGAUGACGAGGCACUACGGUGCUGAAGCAACAAAUGCCCUGCUUCCAGGAAAAGCCUCUAAGCAUCAGGUAACAUCAAAUCGUACCCCAAACCGACACAGGUGGUCAGGUAGAGAAUACCAAGGCGCUUGAGAGAACUCGGGUGAAGGAACUAGGCAAAAUGGUGCCGUAACUUCGGGAGAAGGCACGCUGAUAUGUAGGUGAGGUCCCUCGCGGAUGGAGCUGAAAUCAGUCGAAGAUACCAGCUGGCUGCAACUGUUUAUUAAAAACACAGCACUGUGCAAACACGAAAGUGGACGUAUACGGUGUGACGCCUGCCCGGUGCCGGAAGGUUAAUUGAUGGGUUAGCGCAAGCGAAGCUCUUGAUCGAAGCCCCGGUAAACGGCGGCCGUAACUAUAACGGUCCUAAGGUAGCGAAAUUCCUUGUCGGGUAAGUUCCGACCUGCACGAAUGGCGUAAUGAUGGCCAGGCUGUCUCCACCCGAGACUCAGUGAAAUUGAACUCGCUGUGAAGAUGCAGUGUACCCGCGGCAAGACGGAAAGACCCCGUGAACCUUUACUAUAGCUUGACACUGAACAUUGAGCCUUGAUGUGUAGGAUAGGUGGGAGGCUUUGAAGUGUGGACGCCAGUCUGCAUGGAGCCGACCUUGAAAUACCACCCUUUAAUGUUUGAUGUUCUAACGUUGACCCGUAAUCCGGGUUGCGGACAGUGUCUGGUGGGUAGUUUGACUGGGGCGGUCUCCUCCUAAAGAGUAACGGAGGAGCACGAAGGUUGGCUAAUCCUGGUCGGACAUCAGGAGGUUAGUGCAAUGGCAUAAGCCAGCUUGACUGCGAGCGUGACGGCGCGAGCAGGUGCGAAAGCAGGUCAUAGUGAUCCGGUGGUUCUGAAUGGAAGGGCCAUCGCUCAACGGAUAAAAGGUACUCCGGGGAUAACAGGCUGAUACCGCCCAAGAGUUCAUAUCGACGGCGGUGUUUGGCACCUCGAUGUCGGCUCAUCACAUCCUGGGGCUGAAGUAGGUCCCAAGGGUAUGGCUGUUCGCCAUUUAAAGUGGUACGCGAGCUGGGUUUAGAACGUCGUGAGACAGUUCGGUCCCUAUCUGCCGUGGGCGCUGGAGAACUGAGGGGGGCUGCUCCUAGUACGAGAGGACCGGAGUGGACGCAUCACUGGUGUUCGGGUUGUCAUGCCAAUGGCACUGCCCGGUAGCUAAAUGCGGAAGAGAUAAGUGCUGAAAGCAUCUAAGCACGAAACUUGCCCCGAGAUGAGUUCUCCCUGACUCCUUGAGAGUCCUGAAGGAACGUUGAAGACGACGACGUUGAUAGGCCGGGUGUGUAAGCGCAGCGAUGCGUUGAGCUAACCGGUACUAAUGAACCGUGAGGCUUAACCUU